CGCGAAGAACCUUACCAGGUCUUGACAUCUAGUGCCAUUUGUAGAGAUACAAGGUUCCCUUCGGGGACGCUAAGACAGGUGGUGCAUGGCUGUCGUCAGCUCGUGUCGUGAGAUGUUGGGUUAAGUCCCGCAACGAGCGCAACCCUUGUUAUUAGUUGCCAGCAUUAAGUUGGGCACUCUAAUGAGACUGCCGGUGACAAACCGGAGGAAGGUGGGGAUGACGUCAAGUCAUCAUGCCCCUUAUGACCUGGGCUACACACGUGCUACAAUGGGCAGUACAACGAGAAGCGAGCCUGUGAAGGCAAGCGAAUCUCUGAAAGCUGUUCUCAGUUCGGACUGCAGUCUGCAACUCGACUGCACGAAGCUGGAAUCGCUAGUAAUCGCGGAUCAGCACGCCGCGGUGAAUACGUUCCCGGGUCUUGUACACACC
rnacentral:rRNA from 1 species